rnacentral:rRNA from 1 species
UGGAGGCAGCAGUGGGGAAUCUUGCACAAUGGGGGAAACCCUGAUGCAGCGACGCCGCGUGAGCGAUGAAGCCCUUCGGGGUGUAAAGCUCUUUCGGCGGGAACGAUAAUGACGGUACCCGAAGAAGAAGCUGCGGCUAACUACGUGCCAGCAGCCGCGGUAAUACGUAGGCAGCAAGCGUUGUUCGGAGUUACUGGGCGUAAAGAGUGUGUAGGCGGUUCCCCAAGUUCGGUGUGAAAUCUCCCGGCUCAACUGGGAGGGUGCGCCGGAAACUGGGGGGCUUGAGUGUGGGAGAGGAAAGCGGAAUUCCUGGUGUAGCGGUGAAAUGCGUAGAUAUCAGGAGGAACACCUGUGGUGUAGACGGCUUUCUGGACCACGACUGACGCUGAGACACGAAAGCGUGGGGAGCAAACAGGAUUAGAUACCCCAGUAC